CCUACGGGAGGCAGCAGUGGGGAAUAUUGCACAAUGGGGGCAACCCUGAUGCAGCGACGCCGCGUGAGCGAUGAAGUAUUUCGGUAUGUAAAACUCUAUCAGCAGGGAAGAAGAUGACGUUACGUGACUAAUAGCCCCCGGCCAACGACGUGCCAGCAGCCGCGGUAAUACGUCGGGGGCAAGCGAUAUCCGGAUUUACUGUGGGUAACGGGAGCGUAGUCGGUGUUGCAAGCCGGAGGUGAAAGCCCGGGGCUCAACCCCGGGGCGGCAUUUGAAACUGGGUGGCUGGAGUGUAGGAGAGGAAAGCGGAAUUCCUAGUGUAGCGGUGAAAUGCGUAGAUAUUAGGAGGAACACCAGUGGCGAAGGCGGCAUGCUGGACGAUAACUGACGUUGAGGCUCGAAAGCGUGGGGAGCAAACAGGAUUAGAUACCCGAGUAGUC
rnacentral:rRNA from 1 species